GUCCCUGUCGCACAAUAGGUAGCACGUUGGACUUUUAAUCCAAAGGCUUUGAAUCUUACCUGGGAUG